AUGGCGUCGUGUCUUGGGCCGGCCGCGAGGGUUUACACCGCGCCACGGCGGCAUCCGGCCUCCCCAUUCUCCCCGCCCGCCGCCCCUGCUCGCGUACGUCUGCCGCGAACGGCGCCGCGCUCCCUGUCCAUGUCACUGUCGGCACUGCGCCCGCGCGUGCACCGCUGCUAUUCUGAUCCCGAGAGCGGGCCUUGGAGCGAUCCGGCCGUCGACCACCACUACGAUGUCGUGAACAUGGACCACAGCGACGAAACCGAUGCCGGUUUGGUUCUGGGCGUCCCGGCCGUCGAGGAGCCCCGCGAGCGCGCGGUCACCACGGACAUUGGCGCGGACGUGGACGACAAAGAUCGUCACGAUGUCGUGGCCAUGGUCCUCAGCGAUGGCACAGACGACUUAGUUCUGGACGGCUCGGCCGUCGAGGAGCCCCGCAAGCUCGCGGCCACCACGGGCAUCGGCGAGGACGACGAAGACCAUCACGAUGCCGUGGCCAUGGUCCUCAGCGAUGGCACCGACGCCUUGGUUCUGAGCGGCCCAGCCGUUGAGGAUCCCCGCGAGCUCGCGCCCACCACAGGCUUUGGCGAGUGCUCGCACGACGACGUCGACGACUGGGGCGACCUCGACGACGUCGUGUAUCCCGCGGGGCUGACCGUCAGGGAGAUCCAAGAGUUCGAAACCGCGGACUUCAGCCAGGCCGCCAUCAACGAGCGGUUCCGGCGCGAGUCCAAGGAGGCAAAGGCCGCCGUCAUAGGCGCUGUCACCGGCAUGGUCCGCCCACUCCGGGAACUCCUCGACGACCUGCGGAGUCUCAAGAGCGUCUUCGACACCCAGGAGUUCCAGAUCGGCAUGCCCUUCGGCGCCAUCAUGACGUGUAUGGGGAUGUACCAACUGUGGAAGCUUAGUCCCUCCACGUGCAUCGAGGUUGCCAUGUACUACGCCUUCUACAAGCUCAGCACCAUCGCGGCCGACGUCCGGCGGCGUGGCUUCUCCCCUGACUGGAUAAUCCGGAUUAAACUCGGUAUAAUCAUCGCUCUGCUUGUCAAAUAUCAUAGGAAAAGCACUGCGCCCCUUGGCAAUUAUGUCAGGCUAGCAAUCUUGGUCAUCUAUGUUACUUCGGUGUUUUGGGACGUGCGGGGUUUGAAGAAGUACGCGAGAAUGAUUCUCCCUAUGGCCCUCGAGAUGGCAAAGCAUCCCAUGGCAACGACAAUACGGUGCAAACGAGUGAAAGCGACAGGAGAGGUUGAAUAUUUCGAAAUCAAAAGAUGA
rnacentral:rRNA from 1 species